rnacentral:rRNA from 1 species
AUUGAACGCUGGCGGCAUGCCUUACACAUGCAAGUCGAACGGCAGCGGACCUUCGGGUGCCGGCGAGUGGCGAACGGGUGAGUAAUAUAUCGGAACGUACCUUUCAGUGGGGGAUAACGUAGCGAAAGUUACGCUAAUACCGCAUAUUCUGUGAGCAGGAAAGCAGGGGAUCGCAAGACCUUGCGCUGAUUGAGCGGCCGAUAUCAGAUUAGCUAGUUGGUGAGGUAAAGGCUCACCAAGGCGACGAUCUGUAGCGGGUCUGAGAGGAUGAUCCGCCACACUGGAACUGAGACACGGUCCAGACUCCUACGGGAGGCAGUAGUGGGGAAUUUUUGGACAAUGGGCGGCAAGACCUGAUCCAGCCACUGCCGCCGUGAGUGAAGAAGGACCCGUAUAGGGUUGUAAACUAACUUUUAUUUAGGUAAGGAAAAAC